UUUAGGAAUAACACCAUUGUUUGUAUCCUGAGAGAGAUAUUGAAACACACCUUAAGGACUCUGAAAGCAUAGGGAACAAAACCAAAAAUGGAAAAAUAGGAAUGCAUCAAACCAAAAAGCUUCUGGGCUGCCAAAGGAACAAGUAAUAGUGAGGCAACAAUCCACAGACAAGGAGAAUAUACAGCAUUAUUCACAAUAGCCAAGAUACAGAAUCAACCCCAUGGAUGAAGGGAUAAAGAAGACAUGGUACAUACGUGCAAUGGAAUAUUUCUUGACUUUAAUUUAGGAGAAGGAGAUUCUGUCAUUUGUGAAAACAAGAAUGAAUCUGGAGGACAUUAUGCUUGUAAAAUAAAACUGACACAGAAAGACAAAUACCAUACGAGCUCACUAAUGUGUGGAAUCUAAAAAAAAGUCUCACUUGCAGAAGUAGAGAUUUGACUCCCGGUCACUAGAGGCUGGGGGUUGCAAUGGCAAAUGGAGAAAUGUUGAUCAAAGGGUACAAAGUUUCAGUGGGAUAGGAGGAAGGAGUUUUGAAGAUCUAUUGCACAACAUUGUGAGCAUGGUUAAUAAUAAUUUAGUGUGUAUUUAAGAAUUGCUAAAUGAGUGGAUUUUAAAUGUUCUCACUACAAAAAAAUAAAUAUGUGAGGUGAUGUAUAUGUUAAUUAGUGUGAUGAAACUAUCUACAAUGUAUACCUAUAUCAGAAUAAUGUGCUAUAUAUCCCCAAAUACAUAAUUGUUAUUUGCCAAUUAAAUAUGAAAAAUUCUGAAUAAAGAAAAGCACUUUAGGUGUCAAAGAAGUUGAAA